rnacentral:rRNA from 1 species
CCUACGGGGGGCAGCAGUGAGGAAUAUUGGUCAAUGGACGAGAGUCUGAACCAGCCAAGUAGCGUGAAGGAUGACUGCCCUAUGGGUUGUAAACUUCUUUUAUAUGGGAAUAAAACGUUCCACGUGUGGGAUUUUGUAUGUACCAUAUGAAUAAGGAUCGCCUAACUCCGUUCCAGCAGCCGCGGGAAUACGGAGGAUCCGAGCGUUAUCCGGAUUUAUUGGGUUUAAAGGGAGCGUAGGUGGAUUGUUAAGUCAGUUGUGAAAGUUUGCGGCUCAACCGUAAAAUUGCAGUUGAAACUGGCAGUCUUGAGUACAGUAGAGGUGAGCGGAAUUCGAGGUGUAGCGGUGAAAUGCUUAGAUAUCACGAAGAACUCCGAUUGCGAAGGCAGUUCACUGGACUGCAACUGACACUGAGGCUCGAAAGUGUGGGUAUCAAACAGGAUUAGAUACCCUUGUAGUC